UACGUAGGGGUGCGAGCGUUGUCCGGAAUUAUUGGGCGUAAAGGGCUCGUAGGCGGUUUGUCGCGUCGGGAGUGAAAUCCACUGGCUUAACUGGUGGCUUGCUUUCGAUACGGGCAGGACUGGAGGUAUGCAGGGGGAGAACGGAAUUCCUGGUGUAGCGGUGAAAAUGCGCAGAUAUCAGGAGGAACACCGGUGGCGAAGGCGGUUCUCUGGGCAUGUCCUGACGCUGAGGAGCGAAAGUGUGGGGAGCGAACAGG
rnacentral:rRNA from 1 species